GACAGCAUGGUGUAGUGGUUUGAGUGACGGACUGUGGCUCUAGAGACCAGGGUUCAAUUCCCUGCUUGGCCA